UGUUAGAAGAGAAUGACUCCUCAACCCAAGAGGCCCUGGAGCAGCUGUGAUCAGGUUAGAAGAGAAUGACUCCUCAACCCAAGAGGCCCUGGAGCAGCUGUGAUCAGGUUAGAAGAGAAUGACUCCUCAACCCAAGAGGCCCUGGAGCAGCUGUGAUCAGGUUAGAAGAGAAUGACUCCUCAACCCAAGAGGCCCUGGAGCAGCUGUGAGAGAGCAGCAGUGUUGAAGCAUUUGGGGAAAUUUAAAGAAGGUUUCCUGGAAAAGAGGAUUGACUGUUACGUAAAGGGUCAGAGCCACUGAUUGGACAAAAUAUUAAGGAUACCUUCCUAAUAUUGAGUUACGCCUGGUCAGUUUGUCAUGGAAAGAAAG
rnacentral:lncRNA from 1 species